rnacentral:snRNA from 1 species
AUACUUAGCUGGCAGGAGAGAUACCAUGAUCACAAAGGUGUUAUUUCCAGGGCAAGGCAGAUCCAUUGCACUUAGGGGCUACUGACCCCUGUGAUUUUCCCACAUAGGGGAAACCCUACAGCAUAAUUUGUGUUAGUGGGGGGGUCGUGUCUGCACUUUCCCCUG